UGCAGUCGAACGGCAGCGCGGGAGCAAUCCUGGCGGCGAGUGGCGAACGGGUGAGUAAUACAUCGGAACAUGUCCAGUAGUGGGGGAUAGCCCGGCGAAAGCCGGAUUAAUACCGCAUACGAUCUAUGGAUGAAAGCGGGGGAUCGCAAGACCUCGCGCUAUUGGGGUGGCCGAUGGCGGAUUAGCUAGUUGGUGGGGUAAAGGCCCACCAAGGCGACGAUCCGUAGCUGGUCUGAGAGGACGACCAGCCACACUGGGACUGAGACACGGCCCAGACUCCUACGGGAGGCAGCAGUGGGGAAUUUUGGACAAUGGGCGAAAGCCUGAUCCAGCAAUGCCGCGUGUGUGAAGAAGGCCUUCGGGUUGUAAAGCACUUUUGUCCGGAAAGAAAUCCUGGUGGCUAAUAUCCGCCGGGGAUGACGGUACCGGAAGAAUAAGCACCGGCUAACUACGUGCCAGCAGCCGCGGUAAUACGUAGGGUGCGAGCGUUAAUCGGAAUUACUGGGCGUAAAGCGUGCGCAGGCGGUUUUGUAAGACCGAUGUGAAAUCCCCGGGCUUAACCUGGGAACUGCAUUGGUGACUGCAAGGCUUGAGUAUGGCAGAGGGGGGUAGAAUUCCACGUGCAGCAGUGAAAUGCGUAGAGAUGUGGAGGAAUNCCGAUGGCGAAGGCAGCCCCCUGGGUCNAAUNCUGACUCUCAUGCACGAAAGCGUGGGGAGCAAACANGAUUAGAUACCCUG
rnacentral:rRNA from 1 species